GAUGAACGCUGGCGGCGUGCUUAACACAUGCAAGUCGAACGGAAAGGCCGAAGCUUGCUUCGGUACUCGAGUGGCGAACGGGUGAGUAACACGUGGGUGAUCUGCCCUGUACUUCGGGAUAAGCUUGGGAAACUGGGUCUAAUACCGGAUAUGACGAUCUCUUGGAUGGGGUUGUGGAAAGCUUUUGCGGUAUGGGAUGAGCUCGCGGCCUAUCAGCUUGUUGGUGGGGUAAUGGCCUACCACGGCGUCGACGGGUAGCCGGCCUGAGAGGGUGUACGGCCACAUUGGGACUGGGAUACGGGCCAGACUCCUGCGGGAGGCAGCAGGGGGGAAUAUUGCACAAUGGGCGAAAGCCUGAUGCAGGGACGCCGCGUGGGGGAUGACGGCUUUAGGGUUGUAAACUCCUUUCGCAAUCGACGAAGCCUGUUGGUGACGGUAGCUUGAGAAGAAGCACCGGCUAACUACGUG
rnacentral:rRNA from 1 species